GGCGAGCUGGGCGGGGCGCACGGCGCGCCGGGAAUUUGAGGACGCUCUGGCAGCUGGUCGGGCGGCUGAGUUCGCUUGGGGCAUGAAAAAAGGAUGAUCAUAGUGAGGAAUGUGAGAAAGAAUACAGAACUGGGAACGGAGAUAUUUGGGAACAGAUAUUGCUGGGAAUUCAGCCACUCUGAUGUGAGGCAGCCCAAGCAGCCCAUGGAGAGAUCUGUGUGGAGAAAAACCAAGGUCCCUGACAACAGUCUCAGCAGAGUCCCCAGCCAGGAACCAGCAGUAACUGCCAGCCUUGUCAUUUCUAUUUUCUACUAGUUGCUGCAUCAUCAAUCUUUUCAAGUCAUCAUUCAAAUAGUGCUUGGUCUCUCACUCUCCACUCCAAAGCCUUCUCCAGAUACACCCAAAAUACAAGGCCCACUGUAAGAAUUGAGCCUAGCAGAAGAUAACAGCUGGAGAAGGCUCCAAGAGCUAAGCCAAGAUUUGAGCUGCUGCCUGCCAUAGCCUACCAUGCCGCAGACAGAAGGCUGAAGCUUUUCACCUAUAGUUCUCAUUCAGUCCUCCAAACAAAUCUGCAAAGUUGAUGGCAACUCCAUAAAGAUUAAAAAACAACAGCAAACUUAACCUCACAGAAU
rnacentral:lncRNA from 1 species